AUCAUUCGUUGUUCAGACGACGCCUGGGUAAGACCAGGAGAGGCUCAUUACAGAGUUAUUACUGCUCAGCAAGGUCGAGUUUUCUUCGUCAUGGCUUCGUACUUCACGCUACUGCUGUGCAUUUCUUUGGCGGUUGUCACCGUUUCUGGACUGGACUGUAACCCUUGUGAAUUAUUCUUCUGCCUAAAACCUGUGCCAACUGGGUGCCCUUAUGGGGUAGUAUAUAGCCUGUGUACAUGCUGCUUUGAAUGUAGUAAGGGCGAGGGUGAAGAGUGCGGUGGCCCUAGAGACACCUUUGGCACCUGCGCAGAAGGGCUGAUCUGUCACGGGGGGUACGGCACGGAGAAACCCGGUCAUUGCAAGGCCCGGCGACCCUACGGGCGGAAAUAAGAAGCCUCCAUGUCUUGGCUAAGGACCGUUUCCGAAGAAAGGGGUGGAUGGUUGGUGAACCUGCUUUCUAGCUGAGUGGAGACGUGGAUUCUGUACGAAGAUGACUUUAAAAGAUUUUUUUGGCUACUCUUCUCUGGGAUUCAGUAAAUUAAAUGGUUGAUGA